rnacentral:miRNA from 1 species
UUUGAUGAUGUGGCAACAAAGCGC